rnacentral:lncRNA from 1 species
GAGACAGUAGGACAGCAAACCGAACUGGUGCCGAUCGUGACAUUCCAACCCCUCAGGAUAACCUUAAGCUAAUUACUGAAAAAUUCCGCAACAAAGGAUUAGAUUCCACUGAUCUGGUUGCGUUAUCAGGUACAUACAUUUGACCACAAUGACAUUAUUACAAUUUUUGUUGGACAAUACAAUACAAAAAUACCAAAUGAAUAACCUAGCAAUUUCGUAUAUGCAUAAGUACUGUGUCAAGCUUAUGCUGCUAUUUAGACCAUAUUAUUUACUACCCUUAUUGCUGAUCACAACAUAUAAGUGAGUUCCGUAUUUAUUAGAGAGAUAGUAAGUAAAUAUUGUACAGUGUGCUCGGGGAUACAUGACAGUGCAUUAUAUAUAUGUUAUUAUAUAAGUGGAGGAAUUUUUUCUUCUUCUAGUGUAUGGUGUAUUGCCCCGUAUUCUGGACAGAUCAAAAAAUGUAUUGUGGUGUGGGUGGGUUAACAAGAGGGGUGUAUUUUUACUCAUCACCCUCAAAUAGUAGUAAUGCUCAUCACCCUAUUUAUCAUUGGAUGAGUUUAAAUUUUGAGAUUUAUGUCUAUUCAUUACAUAGAUCUCAAAAUUCAUAUUCAUCUAAUAAUAAUAAAUAGAAUGAUGAGUAUUACCAUCAUUUCAAGACGAUGAAGAAAAGUAUAAUAACAAAAAAAUAACUAGAGUACCAUUUUCCUUUUUUUGGGGCUGAUUUGGGAAGUGCCAACUUGUUUACAUGGAAGUUGGCACCCUUAAUUAACAAACUGUGGGUCAUAUUGAGCAAGGGGCACCAGAUGCAACUGUGCCGAGAAAAAGGGAUUUGGAUUCCAUCUGGAUUCAAAUGGUGAAGAUUUUAGAGAUCUUCACAUCUUAGUUAUUCAUCGUAUAUUAUGUGGUCAUAAAUUAUUUAAAUUUUUUAUUUAAAAUUAAACACAAAUAAUAUUUGACAAAAACUGGCCCCACGAUGUACGAUAAACGGUUAGGAUGUGAGCAUCUCUAGGAUUCUCACGAAGAGGAUCCGGAGAAGAUCCUCUUCCGAGAAAAAGAGUGCCUGAUGCCCAAAGUUCUAGUAGCGUCUCUCUCAGUUUUCAUCAUGUCAAUAAUAGGUUAAUUAUUUUCAAAGGUAUAAAUGUGGUUGUUUGCUUUCUUAGGUGCCCAUACAUUUGGCCGGGCAAAAUGUAGAUUUUUCGUCGAUCGCCUCUACAAUUUCAGUGGCACCAGCAAACCGGACCCGACCAUUGAUGUCGAGUACAUGAAAACCCUACGCCAAACAUGUAGUCAAGGUGGCAAACCAAGUACCUUGACCAACCUUGACCAAGCAACUCCUGAUGCCUUCGACAAUUAAAAGGUCGUACCCAGUGCACAAGGCUCCCGCUUUACGCAGGGUCUGGGAGAGGUGAAUGUCGGCUAGCCUUACCCCCAUUUAUGGAGAGGCUGCUCCCAAGUCUCGAACCCGAGACCUACCGCUCAUGGGCGAAGGCACUUGCCAUCGCACCAAGUGCGACCUCUAUAAAAUCAGAAAAUUAAUAGUGGAUAAGCUCACUACCAUUGAUGUCUUCGACAAUUACUACUACAAAAAUCUCCAAAACAACCGCGGGCUCCUCCAGACCGAUCAGGAGUUGUUCUCAACAAGUAGCAUAGACACUGUUUCCAUUGUGAACCGCUUUGCUAAUAACCAAAGCGAUUUCUUUGAUACUUUUGCACAGUCCAUGAUCAAAUUGGGGAAUAUAAGACCUUUGACAGGAAGCGCUGGAGAGAUUAGGGCUGAUUGCAAAAGAGUCAACUAGUCAAUCAGUCUACUAAUAGGUUACCAAUUGCCCUAAAUGAGGGUACUGUGUUAGCAUGAGGUUUAGGUACCUUGUCAUUUUGGUCUAUUUUUACUUCCUCACUAAUUAUAUAUAGCUCACUGAGUGUUUUUUCAUACUGUAGUCAUUUUAGUCCAUUUGAUGAGGGUUUCCAAGUAUAUCCAACGUUAAUGGUCGAACCGCGCUGCUGCGACUUAUUUAAAUAGGUCGUGCUUGUGUCAUGCUAGAUCAGUCUGAUAUUUGACAACUCUAACUUAAAUGUGCUUAAUUACCUUGUUGGAAAAGUUAGCAAAUUAAGAAAUUGGUUUGUCAGUUAUUCAGUGAGUAAGGCCCAAGUGGUAGAUGAAUCGAUUUCAAACCAUUUCUGAACAAUUUCACGUAUUAUACACUCAAAUGGGGGCAUGUAGAAUUAUUGAAGCUAACCCUAAGAUCAAUAAAUGCAAAAAGGAAAACAAAGAAAAAAGCUACGAUCGAAGUAAUCUUCAUCUAAUCAAAAUUUUGUCUUAGACUUUUAUGUUUUGGACUAAACUUUAGAGCAGUAUUCAUAGACUCGUAAUUAAUGUUAUUUCGGAGAGUUUCCAAGUAGUACUGUGACUUAUUUUAAUAGGUUGUGUUGUUGUCAUGCUAGGCCAGCUUGACCCUUUGACAAUUCUAACUUAAAGGAUUAGAAUUUGUGCUUAACUGGUUGAAAAAGUUAGCAAAUUAACGAUUUGGUUUGCCAAAUAUUCAGUGAGCAAGGCCCCACUGAUAGACAAAUCAAUUUCAAACCGUAUAUGAACAAGUUCAUUUAUGAUGGACUCGGCUUGGGGGCAGGUAGAAAUGUAAAAGCCAACCCUAAGAUCAGCCGCUACAAAAGGAAAAAGACAGAAAAAUGCUAUAAUCGAAGUGAUCUUCAUCUGAUCAAAUUUUUAUCUCAGACUUAUAUGUUUAUGACUGAACUUCAGAGUCUAUUUAUAGACUCCUAAUAUUAUUUAGGGUUAUCUCAAUUUUCUGAGCUAGCUGUCUUUGGGUGAAGAAUGAUGAGGUAUGAGUGUGACUAACCCUAAAUGAAAAUUAGGACAUUAAAUGGUGAUAUAUCUCUUAACUUUGACAUUACUUUCUUCUCAAACGUUGCAAGGGUGCGCGGAGUAGGUUUAUUAAUCAUGCAAAAUAGGUUAUGUUCACGUUUAAUCAUACACAAUAGUUGUGAAUGACUUAUACACUUGAAAAAUGGUUGAAAGCCAGCUAAUAAAUAGCUACCAACGGAUCUUUUAAAUCAACCUUCAAAAUACUAAUGUAAUUUUCAUUUAAUACCCCCCCUGAAAUCAGUCCUAAUAUUUUUAACACAUCUUCAAUGCAUAUGAAACUUAAAUGAAAUCACUUGGAAAAAAAAUAAAGCUAAUUAUCAUUUGUUUGAUAUUUUUUAUUUAAUUGGAUAUUCAAUCAAAGGUUUCUAUAUUUUAGUAGCAACACGUCAUUAAGUUUUCUUUCAUAACGUGUUUCUUUCUUAUUGAUGACAUAUAAUUUAGUUUGCAAAUUUGAUUUAAAAAUUUGGUAUCCCUAACAUUACCUAUUAGAUAACGUAUUGCUACUGUAAUUUGGUAUUAUUGAUUGUAACCACUUUUGAAAACUAAACCAAAAUAACACACAUGAUUUCUGUAAUAGAACAAAAUAAACACUAUUUUUUGAAUUAUAGCAAAAUAACCACAUUAUUUUUUAAACUAAACCAAUAUAAUCCACACUAUUUUUGAAACUAUAGCCAAACAACCACACUAUUUCUGAAACUAAAUCAAAAUAACAACACUAUUUCUAAAACUGAACCACAAUAACUACACUAUUCAUGGAACUACUGCAAAAAUAACUCACACUAUUUCUAAAACUGAACCAAAAUAAUCCACACUAUUUAUGAAACUACAAAAAAAUUACUCACACUAUUUUUCAGAACCAAAAUAACCCACACUAUUUCUGAAACUAUAGCAAUAUAACCACACUAUUUCUGAAACUGAACUAAAAUAAUUCACACUAUUUAUGAAACUACAAAAAAAUUACUCACACUAUUUUUCAGAACCAAAAUAGCCCACACUAUUUCUGAAACUAUAGCAAUAUAACCACACUAUUUAUGAAACUAUAACAAAAUAACCACACUAUUUUUGGAACUACAGCAAAAUAACCUACAUUAUUUCUAGAACUACAACAAAAUAACUCACACUAUUUCUGAAACUGAACACAAAUAGCCACACAUUAUUUUUGGAAUUAUAACAAAAUAGCCCACACUAUUUUUGAAAAUUAAACCAAAAUAAUCUACAUGAUUUCUGGAAGGAAACAAAAUAAACAUUAGUUUUGGAAUUAUAGCAAAAUAACAUACAUUAUUUUGAAACUAAGCCAAAAUAACCAACACAAUUUCUGAUACUGAACAAAAUAACACACAAUAUUUUUAAGACUGCAACAAAAUUAUACCUAUUUUAAAACUGAACCAAAAUAAUGAGUUUUAAAACUAGGAGAUUUUCAGUCUUAUGAGCCAAAAUGUUUAGUACGUUGUAUUUAGAUAUGGAUUUUGAAGAGCAUUAACGAGUUUUAAAUUAUUCUUUACUCUUCACAACUACUUAACUUAUUUCCCUGAUAAUAUCAUCUUGUUGGUAAAUAAUUGGCAUUCUUGUGAUAGGUUGAGCAUGCAUCGAUUUCACAAGUCAAGUCUUGCAUCUCAUUGACAUGUCCCCUUUGGAUAAUAUAUUAUGGGGUUUAUGAAUUAGUCUUAAUAUUGUUCCCUAUAUAUAUAUAUAUAUAUAUAUAUAUAUAUAUUGGUCAGGAUUAACAAUUGCAUUGAUAAGGGAAAUACAAAAGGAGAUAAAAGGGUGAGGGCAUGGACGCCCAAACCCAGAUAAAAGAUAAAAAAUAAAAGUGAUUUGACGCAUUUGAUCUACAUGAAAAAGAAAACAAAUGUGACAGACAUAAUACAUGGACACAACCAAACAAAUAUUUAAUGGGAGUGUGGCCCUGACAAAUUUCAAGUAGCUCAAAACCUAAUAUAAAUUUUAACUUUUUGAUGGAAUGGACUAAUGGAAUGAGACUUCUAUCAGAGGCAUUGGCUGGAAAAAAGAAAAAUUAGUGUUGCCCGUGUUAUUAAUGAGGUUUUAGCUUUUAUCCAUAUCAUAUUGUAUUUUGCCUUUUUUAUUAAAUUUUAAGUUCUUUAUAUUAAAUAAAGUUAAAGGGUGAUUUUUCUUAAAAUAAACUUAUCUCAAGUCUUUUUUUCUCUCUUUUUAAUAAUGAGAGCGCAUUUCAUUUAACAACCAAAAAAGCUCCACGAAUGGCUAAAAGCAAACAAACAUCAGCCCAAAACCUAACUGAAGCCCAAAAAGUAGAAGCAAUCCAUAAUACUUCAAACCCUAGCAUCAAACUGUACCCAUAGAGCUGGCACCACCUUUUGUUGGUGCAGAAAACGUCACCAUCGUAGAUACAAGCCAAAAUUCAAUGAAAAGAGAGCUCAUACGAAAAUGGGACAUUUAUCACGCACAUAUUCAAUAGACCAAGUGAGUAUAAUACUAUCUUGAGAUCCUAAUUUCGUCAAUCCAUGAAUCUGCACCCUACGUACCAAAGUGUGGCUGAGAGAGCUAAGAACGAGGGGGCACAUUGCGGAGAGAUCUGCAUCAAAGGGAAGUUUUGGCAUACGGAUAAGCGUUUGAGCAUAUGACUGGACAAAGCGGGAGUAUAAUUUCAGAUUUAGUGGCGGGAUGGCGAGUAUGGGUGAGCGGAAGGCGAGCAAGUGGGGGAUGGAGGGGAAGAGCAAUGGACAUCAAAGCUUAGCUGACGGAGUGGAGAAUUUUCAUGGAGGAGGAAGAGGAGUGGGAGAGAUGAAGGCGCCACUAGGGCCGGGGCAAUUUAGCUUGAUAUAUAUGUUGGAUUUUUGGAUUGCCGGGCCCGUCCCACUCUAACGACACCGAUAUUGUCCCAAACUUUACCACUUGCCCAAUCCGUCAGGUAUGGAGUUCUAUCACAAAAGGUCUCAGUAUGAGUUAGAGUAGAGUAAUCCUAUUUAAACCCAUUGGGUUUCUUUCAACCCACCUACUCCGCCUCACGUGUAACCUCAUUUAGUGGUUUACAUGUGGAGGUCCACAUCAGUAAUUGAAACUCAAAGGUUGGCUCCCGUUGGGCCCACUUGUUUUCAAUGGAACUCAAUGGUCAUCUCUAUGUUAAGAGUUCAGACUUGUUUCCUUCUUGGUGACAAGCUCAUUGGCUUGCAUAGGCCCGAAACCGUGGGCUUUGAUACCAUGUUGGAUUUUUGGAUCUCUAGGCUCACCCUACUCUAAUGACACCGAUAUUGUCCCCAACUUUACCACAUGCCCAAUCCUUCAGGUGUGGGGUUUUACCAUAAAAGGCAUCGGUAUUAGUUAGAGUAAGGUAAUCCAAUUUAAACCCAUUGAGUUUCAUUAAACCCACCGAUGUGGGACUUUAACAAUAUAGUAAUUUCUCCAUUAAUUGAGAAAUAGUACUAGUUGGUCCAUAUAAUUGCAGUUGCAAAAGUUGUUGCAUGGUAUUAAUACAAUCAUUUACUAUAAUCAUUCCACAUAUUGUAACAUAGUUUUAUAAUUAUUGUAGGAUUGUAAGUUUUUUUAGUUAAGAUUUAGGGAUUCAAUUAAGCUAAGGCCGGUCGCUUCCUAACUGGUUAAUUAAUAUUAGAUUAACUAGGGAUAAAGGAAUCCUAAUUGACACGUCCCGACCCGAUGUCCUAGGGACAAAGGGUUGGUCACGUGCUGGCCGACACCCGAAGGUGACGAAAGCCAUUUAUUAAGUGCAAAUGCUGAAAACAAGGGAUAUAUAAGACUUAUAAAUACAAAAGAAUAAAGAAUAUGCAUUUAAGGAACGUGUUCAGAGCAUACGACUAACUAGAAUACUAACAGAAAUAAUAUAAAAUUGAAUGAAUAAAAGAAUAAGUCCUACACCAAGAAGACUCGAAGAUGCCGAUGCGGAAGUGCUUGAAUGCCGGGAUUGUAUAUCUUGAUUCUAUGUCAGUACUUAGCCGCCAAAUGCUGCGCCACUAGCGAAGACGGAAACGUCACCAUUAAUUGCCCCCAAGCACAUAAAGGGUACAUUUAGUCAAACUCUACUCAAACGAUUUAAUUUGGGAAAACAGACUUCAGAAACGGGUCCAGGAUGUCGAAAUUAGCCUAGGAAGGUAUUGGACGAAAACCCGAAAGGUCAAAGUCAACGGUAAACGUUGACCAGUCAAAGUGAACGGUCAACGUUGACCGGGUCAACGGUCAACGGUCAGUCAACGGGUCAGGGUCAGGGUCGGACCAGGUCAAACGGGUCAGGCUUUGGAUCCGGGUUUGGGUUCUAGGGUUCUUGGGCUUGGUCCUAAAGCCCAAUGGUUUAGGGGUUGGGCUUAAGCCCUUAACAGAAACGGCCCAAAGGGCCCUAAUUCUUCCAAGGCCCGAAGGCCUAAACUAAAAAGGGUCAUGGGUUGGGCUCGGCAGAAAAGCCCAAAGGGCUUGGGUUUUGGUGGGUCGCCGGACCCAAGGAUGAAGAAGGCCGGAAUUCGGCCGGAAAUUCACACCUACUUUAAACGGCCAUAACUUUGUCACUACUCAACGAAAUCAAGCGAAACAAAAAUGAAAGUUGUAGCCCUGGAAGAGACGAAGAGAAUGAUACCUCACACGACAUCUAAAGCGCAGUGAUUUGUCCGGAAAAUGCCUCGAAAGCCGUCGGACUCGCAGGAAACUGGGUAAGAUUCAAAUGAGUAUAACUUCUUCAAUACUCAAUGAAAUUGGGUGAAACAAAAAGGAAAGUUGUAGUACUCAGGAAGACGAAGAGAUUGAUACCUUACACGCCGGCCAACUCAUCGUGAUUUGGCCGGAAAUGGCCUCGAAAGGGGCGGUGCUCGCCGGAGCUCGUGUACGGGGCUUCGUGGUUCGACUUCCAAGAUACCAAAACUAUGGUUGAGUUAGUAGAGACGAGAUAAAGACGAUGGUGAUGUCGAAAUUGUGAUUUGAUGAUGAUUUAGUAUAUGGGUUAGGGGUGUGGCACGGUGAAGGAGAAGAAGAGAGAUAGAGAAAGUGAGGGAAAGUGACGGGAAAGAGAGGGAAGAAAAAGAGAGAAAAAAGAGGGGGGGGUCCGGGUAGAGGGGAACAAAAAUCAAAGGGUGGGCCCCUUGGGCUCACCAAUUAAGAAUUAAAAACCAUUUUUAAAAUAAAAUGGGGGUGAGGUGUUACA